GGCGCGCGUCAGCUUGGGCUCCCCGGAGCGAGUCGCUAGGUAACGGGGCUGGCUCCGCAGACCCGCGGCCGGGGAAGCCCGCGCGCGCCGUCAGCAGCCGCGCCGCGGGGCGCGGGCGGGGACGCACGGACCCUCCCGCAUCCCGGCCGCAGACCCCGACUCGCCCGCGGCCCCCCUCCCAGGAUGCCUUAACCGGCGCGGAUCGCCACCGCCCAGGUGCCCCUCCCUCGCAGGGACCCCGACGCCGCCGGCCCCCUCCUCCUUCCCAGGCGGUGCGCACCGUUCUGCGCGCGGCCGGGUGGGCGCCCCACCGCCGCGGUCACCGUCGCCGCCGAUCCUCCCGCCGAGCCCCUGCGCGGGGCAUGAGGAGCCCCGGGGCGCCGCCCGGAGACGACCCGGCUGCGCGCACACCUCGCCAGCGGCGGACGGGGACAUGAGCGGCGCGCGCGGGGUCCGGCGCCCGGCGGCCAGCCCCAGCCGGCGGCGGCCAGCGGGUCAGCGCUGCCCGGGAGAAUGAGGCAGGAGCCCGCGGCAGCCUCCUCCUUCAUCUCCUCUUCCUCCUCCUCCUCCUCUUCGCCUUCCUUCGGCUCCGGCGCCUCGGGCCCGGGCCGGGCUGUGGCUCUGCUGCGUGCCCCGCGCGCCCCCCGCCCGCCUCCGGAUGCGCUGCUCGGUUAGCCUGGGGCGGAAGAUAAAGACACUUGCCACCAAGAUGGUAAUCACGAGUGGAAAUGAUGAGGACAGAGGAGGCCAGGAGAGGGAGAGUAAGGAAGAGAGCGUCUUGGCGAUGCUGGGGAUUAUCGGGACCAUUCUGAACCUGAUUGUUAUCAUAUUUGUAUACAUAUACACCACUCUGUGAAUGGCUCAGAGGGUGCUGAGGGGCCUCGGGGAUGGCCGAAUGACGGGAGUCCUGUGUGUCGGCAGGUGACUGACCGGACGCUGCCGUGCAAGCGAGCAGGCCUGACCUACACACGCUGCUCAAGCAAAUGCACCUUCGAACUGUAGAAGAGGUCACAAAAACAAACCACUCCUGCUACAAAGAGCAGACACUAAAGCACAAUGAACCCAACAAAACUCAUUCACACGACAAGGAGCUCAACGUCUUUGGCCCGGGGCCCGAAAGAACAUGCAGAAGACCAGCCUUUGACGCCAUGGGUGAGCGGAUGGGUGCAGAAACUCCUCAUCCCGGGUCUCUGAUGGAUUUCACGCGUUGGGAAGGAGGAACAGGGCGGGCGAGGCUCGUCGGUGCGUCUCCUGGGACACGGGCUUCACCUUAACUCGACGACGAGCCGUUCGGGACGAGAAACCACAGGGGCAACCCUUUGACAGAAUCCCAUCCAUCAAAAGUGGCUAUUUGAUACUGGGGAGAUAACUUAUUUUUCUUUUUUCAUUGGCUUGACGUGUGUAUCUGUUCAUAUCAACGUUUAUAAAUAUAUAUUUUUAAUAAAUGUGCUCUAUUUUUUAGCAUGAACCAAAUAUUUGGAGAGGCGCUCCUCGAGUCCUCGAGCUUUCGUUGGUUUUAUCUGCUUCGCCCCGUAGACUGCAGGUGUUGUGUGGCAUAGCCGUUCUAGUCCUGCUUCGAACAUCUUGAAUCUUUUCCCUUCCCCCCCCUCUCUCUUUCUCUCUCUCUCUCUAUCUCUCUUUGGUCUGGAGGACAUUUUUCCAUAGUACCAGCCCUGGUCCUGGUGGAUGCAUGUUUUAAGAUUGUCCGUUGAGCGGCUUUUUGUUGUUAUAUGGGAGAUCUAAAACGAUUGUGGGCAUGUGGACCUUAGUCGUACCAUAUCCUUACUGAGAAUUUUGCAUGAACGAGGACUGAGCGAUAGAUCAGCUUCGAAGAAACGUAAAAAGGACUGUCGUUGAAGAGGAGAGGGCAGCUACGUGCACAGAUCAACUCUAGGACGGAAUCGUCGGCUUCUUAUUGCCAGCAUUAUUUUUUCAUUCUGGUGACAUCGAUCAGAUUUUUAUUUCAGCGGCCACAUACCGUGCACGUUAGGGAGAACGAGGAGGGAAGGCCAGCACAGGGGCAUAAUUCCUUCCUUAGUUAGCGAGCUGCCUGGGACCUUUUUCGGAGGAGGUGGGGUGUAAAUGGCACGUGGGCUGUCCAGCGUGAGAGCUCACGUGGCUCUCUCGGGCUCUGCAAGGACACCCCCGUGACAGGUGACUUUUUAAGGGCCCUAGAAGGGGAUGCAGUGAUCACCCUAAAAGAUUGCUGUGCUUCUUAAAGCUCCUGGUUUACAGCCACACAAAGCUACUUCCUCCCUGGUAGGGAUGGGUGAAUAUAUACAAAUUUGCCCUCUGCUCCUGGCUCCCUGAGAAGGGCCUUUGCCUGGCUGUGGCGACAUACCCUGACAAAGAGGGUCACGGUUCCUUUUGCUGGCGCCAGACUUGCCCGUGGAUGAAAGAAGCAUUUGAACCCAGCUCGCCUACUUGGGUUCAAAUGAUGCCCAGGAGGUCGCUACCGCCAGAUCUCUCCCUCCCCUUGUUGUGGUGUCUGAAAUUCCACCAUUAGAGAGUCACUUCUUGUGCUCUUUUAAGGGACCAGGUUCUUUUAUAAAGCAGAUGCCCCCGAGCACCUGACUCUGACGGUAUUCAUCAGGUGUCUUCUCUUCCCUCCCAGAAGGAAGUAGACAUGCAUUUAGGGCACACUGUGUGCCAGAGACUUUAUAUUCCUUAGGUCACUGAAAUCCCCCUAUAACCCUGUAAUCCCCCUGCGAGAUGGGAGGGGCUCUUUUCCCACCAUUUGUCGAAGAAAGAGCUCCGAGAGAUCAGGAAACUUCCCCGAGAUCAUGUGGCUGAAUCUGCCCGGAUCUGCCCGAUUCCUUAGCCCAGUGAGGGCUGCGGGGCUGCUGGAGAGAGAGAUGAUGCACAGGAGGGGAAGGCGCAGGAAAGAAAGGGCCCUCAGGGUCAUUCACAAACCCGAUGGCUUUGUGAAAGUCCAGUUCUGCACAUCUCACCCCCCCCCUUCCUCCAUAAAAAUAAAUAACCCUUGGGAACUCCUUGGACACUGGCAGAAUAUCAUACAAGUAAGGACGAGGGACAAGAGGAGGUUGGUUGGGAAUAAAAUGGGCUGUCAGGGGGAGGGAGCCAUCCACCAGGUUGUGUGUGAUUCUGGAAAGACUAUAUGAAAAUUCUGAACAGUGAACAGAGUAAACA